GACGAACGCUGGCGGCGUGCUUAACACAUGCAAGUCGAACGGAAAGGCCUGCUUUCCCUUGUGGAUUGCGGGUACUCGAGUGGCGAACGGGUGAGUAACACGUGAGUGAUCUGCCCCCAACUUGGGUAUAAGCCUGGGAAACUGGGUCUAAUUCCCGAUAGGACUGCAGGGUGGUGCCUGUGGUGGAAAACGAUUUUCUAGUGGUUGGGGAUGAGCUCGCGGCCUAUCAGCUUGUUGGUGGGGUAAUGGCCUACCAAGGCGGCGACGGGUAGCCGGCCUGGGAGGGUGGACGGCCACAUUGGGACUGAGAUACGGCCCAGACUCCUACGGGAGGCAGCAGUGGGGAAUAUUGCACAAUGGGCGCAAGCCUGAUGCAGCGACGCCGCGUGGGGGAUGACGGCCUUUGGGUUGUAAACUCCUUUCGACCGCGAGGAAGCCACCUGGUUGGAAGGGUGGUGACGGUAGUGGUAGAAGAAGCACCGGCUAACUACGUG
rnacentral:rRNA from 1 species